GUCUAUGGCCAUGCCACCCUGAAUUAGCCCGAUCCUGUCUGAUCUCGGAAGCUAAGCAGGGUUGGACCUGGUUAGUACUUCCUAGGAAGAUCAGGUGCUGUAGGCG
rnacentral:rRNA from 1 species